UCCGUAGGGUGAACCUGCGGAGGGAUCAUUACCGAGUUUACAACUCCCAAACCCAAUGUGAACGUUACCAAACUGUUGCCUCGGCGGGAUCUCUGCCCCGGGUGCGUCGCAGCCCCGGACCAAGGCGCCCGCCGGAGGACCAACCAAAACUCUCUUUGUAUACCCCCUCGCGGGUUUUUUUAUAAUCUGAGCCUUCUCGGCGCCUCUCGUAGGCGUUUCGAAAAUGAAUCAAAACUUUCAACAACGGAUCUCUUGGUUCUGGCAUCGAUGAAGAACGCAGCGAAAUGCGAUAAGUAAUGUGAAUUGCAGAAUUCAGUGAAUCAUCGAAUCUUUGAACGCACAUUGCGCCCGCCAGUAUUCUGGCGGGCAUGCCUGUCCGAGCGUCAUUUCAACCCUCGAACCCCUCCGGGGGGUCGGCGUUGGGGAUCGGCCCUGCCUCUUGGCGGUGGCCGUCUCCGAAAUACAGUGGCGGUCUCGCCGCAGCCUCUCCUGCGCAGUAGUUUGCACACUCGCAUCGGGAGCGCGGCGCGUCCACAGCCGUUAAACACCCAACUUCUGAAAUGUUGACCUCGGAUCAGGUAGGAAUACCCGCUGAACUUAAGCAUAUCAAAAGCCGGAGGAA
rnacentral:rRNA from 1 species